GCCCACCUAGCUCAGUCGGUAGAGCAUGGGACUCUUAAUUCCAGUCGUGGGUUUGUGCCUCACAUUGGGUG
rnacentral:tRNA from 1 species